AUACAAAAUUGAAAUUUUAUGAUUCAGUACCGUUUGAUUGCCAGGCAUGAAUAGGCAAAUCGAACAACGAUUGAAUUGUAAUUCGACUCAUUCAAUUUAUGGAUUAAUUGGAGGCGAAAUUAGGGGAAUGUCAAGUUUGUUAACCUACAAUAUGAAAUCCUCGUCAGCCUGAUAUUCCUGGCUAAAGGCGCAUUUUACUCAGAAUUGGCAGACACACAUGAGAUCAGCAUAUCACCGUUCAUGCCUUUGUUGAGUCUGUCAACAACAACUUGGACUACAUAAGGUAUACUGGAUUAUGAAAGACUGAUAAACAUAAAAUUGACAACUCAUCUCCCCAACGAUACUAAGUGUGGCUCAUUCUCAGAACAAACCCAUAGUCAGUGAGAAAACUACAGUGUAAAAAGACCACUUGAUUGUGACAAUUAUGGCUGACCAAGCAAAUGUUAUCAUUUAAAAUACAGAAAACUUCCAGUUCAAUAUACAUUUUAUACCAAUUAUGACAUUGACCAACACAGAAAAUAAUUAUAAGGUUGAUUUUCCCAAAACUGACUGUUACAAUGGGAUACUUUUUUAAGCUUCACUCUACUUUGUCUGA